rnacentral:lncRNA from 1 species
GAUAUGUUACAUUACACGGCAAAAGGGAGUUUGUAGAUAUAAUUAAGGUAAUAGACCUUAACUUAUGCAGAGUCUUCUGGGUUAUCCAGGUGGGUCCAAUGUAAUCACGUGAGUGCUUAAAAGCAGAAGAGGACGUCUGAAGAUGAAAGCGAAGGGAUGUGGCAGACGGGGGAGUCAGAGAGAUUCCCGGGGUGAAAGGUAUUUGAGGUGUUAUUGCAGGCUCUGAGACAUGAAGGCCAUGUGCAGUAACUGGAGAAAGGCUUCUAGGAGCUCAUCCAAAGCAUCAGAAGGUACACAGACAGGCUCUAGGAGCAAAGACUGGUCCCUGGUGACAGCCAGCGAGGAGUUGGGAACCUCAGUCCUACAGCCACAAGGAACUGAAUUCAUCCAACAACUUGAAAGAGCUUGGAAGCAGAUUCAUCCCCGAGCCUCUGGAGCCAUUCAGGAGCCACUCAGAAUCACCUCUAUAGAAGAAGAGAUGCUCCUAGUGCCCUUAUCACUUAGGAAAUUACAAGGGUUUCAGGAGUUCUGUGCCAGGAACCAGGAGAGAGACGGAUACAUAUUUUCUAUUAUCUCACAGUCCACCCCCUGCUCUCUGGCCAUGGACUUCUUACAGCAAAAUGACAGGAAUCAUCCCUGCUUCCUGCCCUCGUAGUUGUGGCCCUGGUCGUAUGACCGCUGCAUCCGACAGGGGAAGAAAAUAAAGUUGAGAUGAUAUGGGAUAGAAGGU